rnacentral:tRNA from 1 species
UUAAUUGAAACCAAGUAGGCGGUAUAUCCCUGUUAAUGAUAAAAUUGAGAAAUUCUCCAAUUAAG